GCAAGAAGAGGGAUUGCUAUAUGAUGCUGGAAUAGCUGAUUAACCGAUAAAAAUUGCGACGUCAGGGAUGUACGCAAGCCAAAUGCUCGGAUGGCAAUCGCCCAUGGACUGCACGCGGUAACUCCACUAUUUCCGGCGGAAAUCAUUUGAAAAAAUUUCAAAGUGUACUUGAAAACAUAAAUAAAAUAUCCUCCAAGUU